AGGCACUGGAAGGUCCNCANNCCGAAAGGGGCUCUGCCCGCCCGAGGAUGGGCCGGCGGCCGAUUAGGUAGUUGGUGGGGUAACGGCCCACCAAGCCGAAGAUCGGUACGGGCCAUGAGAGUGGGAGCCCGGAGAUGGACACUGAGACACGGGUCCAGGCCCUACGGGGCGCAGCAGGCGCGAAACCUCCGCAAUGCGGGCAACCGCGACGGGGGGACCCCCAGUGCCGUGGCAACGCCACGGCUUUUCCGGAGUGUAAAAAGCUCCGGGAAUAAGGGCUGGGCAAGGCCGGUGGCAGCCGCCGCGGUAAUACCGGCGGCCCGAGUGGUGGCCGCUAUUAUUGGGCCUAAAGCGUCCGUAGCCGGGCCCGUAAGUCCCUGGCGAAAUCCCACGGCUCAACCGUGGGGCUUGCUGGGGAUACUGCGGGCCUUGGGACCGGGAGAGGCCGGGGGUACCCCUGGGGUAGGGGUGAAAUCCUAUAAUCCCAGGGGGACCGCCAGUGGCGAAGGCGCCCGGCUGGAACGGGUCCGACGGUGAGGGACGAAGGCCAGGGGAGCGAACCGGAUUAGAUACCCGGGUAGUCCUGGCUGUAAAGGAUGCGGGCUAGGUGUCGGGCGAGCUUCGAGCUCGCCCGGUGCCGAAGGGAAGCCG
rnacentral:rRNA from 1 species